CCUACGGGUGGCAGCAGUAGGGAAUAUUGCUCAAUGGGGGAAACCCUGAAGCAGCCACGCCGCGUGGAGGAUGAAGGUUUUCGGAUUGUAAACUCCUUUUGUUAGAGAAGAUAAUGACGGUAUUUAACGCAUAAGCACCGGCUAACUCCGUGCCAGCAGCCGCGGUAAUACGGAGGGUGCACGCGUUAAUCGGAAUCACUGGGCGGAAAGAGCGCGUAGGCGGGAUAGCAAGUCAGAUGUGAAAUCCUAUGGCUUAACCAUAGAACUGCAUUUGAAACUGUUAUUCUAGAGUAUGGGAGAGGGAGGUAGAAUUCUUGGUGUAGGGGUAAAAUCCGUAGAGAUCAAGAGGAAUAC
rnacentral:rRNA from 1 species